rnacentral:rRNA from 1 species
UGAUGGAAAGUUGAAAAGAACUUUGAAGAGAGGGUUCAAGAGUACGUGAAACCGCCAUGGGAAAAAACGAAUGGGGCCUCGAAGGCAGGACGUCGGGGAUUCAGCCGAACGGGUCGGGCGGACGCGCGUCUUCGAUCGCAAGGCGAAGCGCGCGCUCCGCUCCGACUCCGGACGGUGCACUUCCCCGACGCCGGACGCUGCGACCGGUCGGACGGCUGCCAACGGGCGGCGCGGGAGACCGCCGGACGGACCAGUCCGCCGGCGAACCGCGACUCUCCGGCAGUCCGUCCGACCGUUUCCGAAAGGUUGGGCGCCCGCGCACGACGCGUCGGUCCUCUCACGAACUCCGACGGCGGCGCCCGGCUCGGCAGCGAGUAGGUCGGCGACCCAUCCGACCCGUCUUGAAACACGGACCAAGGAGUCUAACAUGUGCGCGAGUGAUCGGGUGUCCCGAGACCCGAACGCACAAUGAAAGUGAAGGCCCGGAUUGCCGGGCCGAGGGGCGAUCCCGCCUGACGGGCGCAGCCCCGGGACGCGCUGAUCGCAUUGUCGACGGCUCGUACCCAGAGCGUACACGUUGGGACCCGAAAGAUGGUGAACUAUGCCUGGCCAGGACGAAGUCAGAGGAAACUCUGAUGGAGGUCCGUAGCGAUUUUGACGUGCAAAUCAAUCGUCCGAGCUGGGUAUAGGGGCGAAAGACUAAUCGAACCAUCUAGUAGCUGGAUCCAUCCGAAGUUUCCCUCAGGAUAGCUGGCGCUCGCANGACCGAGUUUCAUCCGGUAAAGCGAAUGAUUAGAGGCCUUGGGGCCGAAACGANCUCAACCUAUUCUCAAACUUUAAAUGGGUGAGAAGUCGGGCUUGCUCGACUGAAGCACCGACCNUNGAAUCNAGAGUGCCAAGUGGGCCACUUUUGGUAAGCAGAACUGGCGCUGUGGGAUGAACCAAACGCAGAGUUAAGGUGCCCGAGAGAACGCUCAUCAGAUCCCAUGAAAGGUGUUGGUUGCUAUAGACAGCAGGACGGUGGCCAUGGAAGUCGGAA